AGGCGAAGGAAGAGCAUUAAGAGGAGCUGGAAGAGGCGGCUUGUCUUCAAGAAGCGGACCGUUCGAGGGCUUAUUGAACAUAAGCCCGUUGGGCAAUUUAGCUCGCGGAGCCAUUGGCUCUGUGGCCAGUGAUCUUGCUGGAACCGGACUCCGUUUGUUACAAGGCAGCAGGGCUGGCAGGAGGUUGGAACGCACAAGCAGACGCUUCAUAACACGUUUGUCACGAAGAGCAGACUCCCUGAGAAGAACGCUAGGACAACGACGAAGAAAGCGUUCUAUUCCAUUAAACGUAAAGUUGCCGUCAGCUGCGAUAUCAUCGAGCAUCGUAGAUGGCG